rnacentral:rRNA from 1 species
GACGAACGCUGGCGGCGUGCUUAACACAUGCAAGUCGAACGGAAAGGCCCUGCAUUUGUAGGGUGCGCGAGUGGCGAAAGGGGGAGUAACACGUGAGUAACCUGCCCCUGACUGUGGGAUAACUUCAGGAAACUGGGGCUAAUACAGGAUAGGAACACCUGCUGCAUGGUGGGGGAUGGAAAAAUUCGGCGGUUGGGUAUGGACUCGCGACCUAGCAGCGUGUUGGUGGGGUAGUGGCUUACAGAGGCACUGACGGGUAGCCGGCCUGAGAGGGUGACCGGCCACAUUGGGCCUCAGGUACCGCCCAGACUCCUUCGGGGGGCAUCAGUGGGGAAUAUUGCACGAUGGGCGGAAGCCAUGUGCAGCAACGCCGCGUGCUGGAUGACUGCCUUCGGGUUGUAAACCGCUUGCGCCUGUGACGAAGCGUGAGUGACGGUAAUGGGUAAAGAAGCACCGGCUAACUACGUG